GGGAACGUGAUUUCACUACCGGACUGCCCAAGACGGCAGCACUGAGGAAAGUCCACCCACACGACCCCAGAACUGCGGCUCAAUACCUGGUUUUGGGAGGAAAAUGCCACUCUUGGAAGAGAGGCCCAGCAAUGGACGGCAACUGCACAGCAACGACACUCCCUGUGGAAUGGGAUGAGAUGGAGAAGGCCUUGGCGACAAGGCUCGAGAUAACCCGUCGACGUCUCCACAGGUGCAGGUGAAACGGCAAGCCCUGGCAUGUGCAAGCUGAAAACGCGCUUAGACGAAUGUGAAGAAGGGUCAUCGAUCAGGCAAUCCUUGUCUGGUUUUGGGCCCUACAGAAGGUGGCUUACCACGUUCCC
rnacentral:RNase_P_RNA from 2 species